rnacentral:siRNA from 1 species
GGAGCUCGGUAUUACUCCUA